UACAGAGGUCUCAAGCGUUGUUCGGAUUCAUUGGGCGUAAAGGGUGUGUAGGUGGCGCGCUAAGUCGGGUGUGAAAUUUCGGAGCUUAACUCCGAAACUGCAUUCGAUACUGGCGUGCUUGAGGACUGGAGAGGAGACUGGAAUUCAUGGUGUAGCAGUGAAAUGCGUAGAGAUCAUGAGGAAGACCAGUGGCGAAAGCGGGUGACUGGGCCUGUCCUGACGCUGAGACGCGAAAGCGUAGGGAGCAAACGGG
rnacentral:rRNA from 1 species